CCUCCCUUUAGACAGCGUUACUCUGACUGAGCCCCUGCCAAGUAGGUGGCUCUUCAUCAAUGACAUCAUCAUGCCCUAUCUUCUCCAGCUGACACAGUUUAGUUUCUUCUCAUCCCUGACAUCUCUUUCUCCAGAAUCCAUUCCGGCUGGCCUCGGCUCUGAUGGCCUGUGUCCAUUCCAGCAGCACUGCUUCAGUCUGAGAACAGGGUGAAGAGGCGUAAGAUUCCAAGGGCAUGAGGUGGUGGGUGUGGGGACUGAUUCUCCAAUGUCUUUGUGCCUGAGCAGCUAGUCCUAAAAUGCCCCCCACAAAGGUGCUAGAUUUGAAGUCAGAUGACCUGGAUUCAGUUGCUAGCCCUGUCACUUGCUACCAUGUUACACUGGACCCAGCCUGCCAUAAUGGAUGGUAUGUGUCAAGAAGACUUAAAUUCAAAUAGUACCUCCUACACUAGCUGUGUGACCCUAGGCCCAGAACUGACUGCAAGGUCCCAAACCUGAAGACAACUUUGUUUCUCUUUCCCUUCCUCUUUUAUUGCCCAAAUGUUCAAAUGUGACAUUGGGUCACCAUAGAAAUGACUGGAUUAUUUGACCAGGGACACACGAUGCCUUGGAUAUGACGGGCAAGCAAGCCACUCAUGAAGUCCAAAGAUGCCUCCUAGAAGAAGGGCUACAUAUUGCUUGGGGUGGGGAAUGCAUAUAAUUAACAGAGUUACACAAAACCUAUUUUAUGUAGCCGUAUUUUUUAUUCCUUCAAGACACUUAUCCUGAUUAGAGGUAGCUACAUGGCCCAGAGUAUUGGACCUGUAGUCAGGAAGACCUGAGUACAAACCCAGCCUUAGAAACUUACUAGCUGUGUAACCCUGGACGAGUUACUUAUGUCUCACUCUUCUAUCUCUAAGAUGGGGAUGAUAAUAACAGCACCUACCUCACAGGGUUUGUUGUGAGAAUAAAAUGAGUA